rnacentral:rRNA from 1 species
UACGGAGGGUGCGAGCGUUGUCCGGAAUCACUGGGCGUAAAGGGCGCGUAGGCGGCCUGAUAAGUCGGGGGUGAAAUCCUGCGGCUUAACCGCAGGGCUGCCUUCUAAACUGUCAGGCUAGAGCACAGUAGAGGCAGGUGGAAUUCCCGGUGUAGCGGUGGAAUGCGUAGAGAUCCGGAAGAACACCGGUGGCGAAGGCGGCCUGCUGGGCAGUGGCUGACACUGAGGCGCGACAGCGUGGGGAGCAAACAGG